GUUUGGGUUAUACACUGUAUGUAGAGUUGCCAAUGGUUUGGGUUAUACACUGUAUGUAGAGGUGCCAAUGGUUUGGGUUAUACACUGUAUGUAGAGGUGCCAAUGGUUUGGGUUAUACACUGUAUGCAGAGUUGACAAUAGUUUAGGCUGUCUUCUGUAGAAGAGAUAGACAAUGGUUUGGGUUAUACACUGUAUGUAGAGUUGCCAAUGGUUUGGGUUAUACACUGUAUGUAGAGGUGCCAUUGGUUUGGGUUAUACACUGUAUGUAGAGUUGCCAAUGGUUUGGGUUAUACACUGUAUGUAGAGGUGCCAAUGGUUUGGGUUAUACACUGUAUGUAGAGGUGCCAAUGGUUUGGGUUAUACACUGUAUGUAGAGGUGCCAAUG